rnacentral:rRNA from 1 species
ACGGAAGGUAGCAGUGGGGGAUAUUGGACAAUGGGGGAAACCCUGAUCCAGCGACGCCGCGUGAGUGAAGAAGUAUUUCGGUAUGUAAAGCUCUAUCAGCAGGGAAGAAAAAGCGCAAGCAUUGACAGUACCUGACUAAGAAGCCCCGGCUAACUACGUGCCAGCAGCCGCGGUAAUACGUAGGGGGCAAGCGUUAUCCGGAUUUACUGGGUGUAAAGGGAGCGUAGGCGGUACGGCAAGUCAGAUGUGAAAGCCCGGGGCUCAACCCCGGGACUGCAUUUGAAACUGUCGAACUAGAGUAUCGGAGAGGUGAGUGGAAUUCCAAGUGUAGCGGUGAAAUGCGUAGAUAUUUGGAAGAACACCGGUGGCGAAGGCGGCUCACUGGACGAUAACUGACGCUGAGGCUCGAAAGCGUGGGGAGCAAACAGGAUUAGAUACCCUGGUA